rnacentral:rRNA from 1 species
UACGUAGGUGGCAAGCGUUGUCUGGAUUUAUUGGGCGUAAAGGGAGCGCAGGCGGUGACUUAAGUCUGAUGUGAAAGCCCACGGCUCAACCGUGGAAGGUCAUUGGAAACUGGGUCACUUGAAUAUAGAAGAGGAAAGUGGAAUUCCAUGUGUAGCGGUGAAAUGCGCAGAGAUAUGGAGGAACACCAGUGGCGAAGGCGGCUUCCUGGUCUGUAACUGACACUGAGGCGCGAAAGCGUGGGGAGCAAACAGGAUUAGA